rnacentral:rRNA from 1 species
CUACGGUGAAUACGUUCCCGGACCUUGUACACACCGCCCCGUCAAGCCAUGGAAGCUGGGUGUACCUAAAGUCGAUAACCGUAAGGAGUCGCCUAGGGUAAAACUAGUAACUGGGGCU